rnacentral:rRNA from 1 species
UUUGCAUAUCCAAAAAGCGGAGGAAAAGAAACCAACAGGGAUUGCCUCAGUAACGGCGAGUGAAGCGGCAACAGCUCAAAUUUGAAAUCUGGCCUCUUUGGGGUCCGAGUUGUAAUUUGUAGAGGAUGUUUCGGGUACCGCCUCGGUUUAAAUUUCUUGGAACAGAAUGUCAAAGAGGGUGAGAAUCCCGUCUUGGACCGGCGGUAGGGCCCAUGUGAAACUCCUUCGACGAGUCGAGUUGUUUGGGAAUGCAGCUCAAAAUGGGUGGUAAAUUUCAUCUAAAGCUAAAUAUUGGCCAGAGACCGAUAGCGCACAAGUAGAGUGAUCGAAAGAUGAAAAGCACUUUGAAAAGAGAGUUAAACAGUAUGUGAAAUUGUUGAAAGGGAAGCGCUUACAACCAGACUUGAGCGCGGCGGUUCCCCCUUCCUUUUGGUUGGGUUACUCCGUCGUGUCCAGGCCAACAUCGGUUUCGGGGGUCGGUUAAAGACCUUGGGAAUGUAUCUACCCUUCGGGCGUAGACUUAUAGCCCAGGGUGUCAUGCGGCCUCCCGGGACCGAGGAACGCGCUUCGGCUCGGAUGUUGGCGUAAUGGUUGUCAGCGACCCGUCUUGAAACCACGGACCAA